rnacentral:lncRNA from 1 species
UGAACUUCCACACUUGCAAGAUCCCUCUAUUGUUACUCUGUUGCUGUAUCAUGCAUGACUGUCAAAUCUUAUAUCAACUUGUUUUCUUUUCAAAAUGAUUAAUGACAACUUGUAAUUUCUUAUCACAUGGUCUAACAAUCAACUUAUGUAAUUGAUUUCUAUUUUUAAACCAACUCUCUUUGUCCAGAAGGAUCUGAUUCUUCUUUGGGGAGUAAAUAAGUGCAGUCAGGAGCCUGCAAAAUCAUUUCAGUCCUCAACGGCUAUUGUACCUACAGCAAAGCCUAAGGAUCUGCUGAGCAGUGGGUUCCCCACCACUGCCUUCCCAGGGGACCCCUGGAAGUGGGGUUUGCUUGUGCCUGCUCCAGAGUCAGUACUCACUGAGACGCUGCACUCCCUUGAAGAGAUGACCACGGCCUCGCUAGCAUCUAAAACUGGAUGAUCCAAGAAAGCAGCGCUUCCUUUCGUGGCUCCCACCUUGAUUCCCUGAUUCCUUAGGGUGCAGGGAGCACAGACAAAUGUACAGCAGCUGACCUGAACGCGACUUGAGCAGACGGUGGGAGAGCACUGGAGCACACACAGAAAUCUGAAGAGCAUUGCUCUGCAGCUUCCUGGCCUUCCUUGCCCCCCGGGAACUGGGCCUGGGCUGCUCCUCUCUGCAAGGCCUGCCUCCACCUCCGUGCUCUGAGGACACGUCUCUUUUCUCUCCCUGGGCUCCCCUCCCAGGACCCCGACCUCCUCUCUCCUGAGCUCCCAUCAGAAAGCACGGUUUCCAUUCCCGGCCCUGGCACUGAUUUCCCCUUUCUUUGACUGGACAAAGAAAGCCCUAAUUUUGAAACCAAAGGGGCUCGGUUUUUCUGACCCAAAUUCCAUUUAAAACAAAUGGGCAAAUUCCACCCCCGCCCCCACUUAGAAUGCAAAGCUUUGCCAUCAUUCUUUCCUUAAAAAACUUGUGCACUUCUUCUCACCUUACGCGUCCAUCUUCUAUUUUUUAAUGGCCUACAGCUUGCAAGACACUCUACUAGAGGCAUUUCAGCUAUUUUUAGAAAUUUGCUAUUCUUACAACCAUUCUCAUGUCCAUGUUAUAGACGAGCAACUAGGGGCUCAAAACAUUGUAGUAUUUUGUUUACAAUAAGGCAUAAAAAUAGUAAGUUGAUGAAAGAAUUCAAAUUCAGUUCUAAUUCCCAAAUCUGAGCACUUGCCACUGGAGUAAGUAGCCUCAUUUAAUUUAGCCUCAUUUUGUUUUCUUUCCUUCCUUCUCCUUCGCCUGCCCUUUGUUUUUUCCUUCCUUUCUUCUACCAAUACUUACUGUAAGUCUGGCACUGUUCUAAGCGCUGAGAAUACAUCAUGUCCAUGUUCUCACGAAGCUUACAUUUGAGUUAGAAUUGUGUGAAGAGAUAGACAACAAACAAAUAAACAAAUGAG